AUACGUAGGUGGCAAGCGUUGUCCGGAAUUAUUGGGCGUAAAGAGCAUGUAGGCGGGAAUCUAAGUCUGUUGCGAAAAUGCGGGGCUCAACCCCGUAUGGCGAUGGAAACUGGAUUUCUUGAGUGCAGGAGAGGAAAGGGGAAUUCCCAGUGUAGCGGUGAAAUGCGUAGAUAUUGGGAGGAACACCAGUGGCGAAGGCGCCUUUCUGGACUGCGUCUGACGCUGAGAUGCGAAAGCCAGGGUAGC
rnacentral:rRNA from 1 species